CCCUUAGAUGUUCUGGGCCGCACGCGCGCUACGCUGAUGCAUUCAACGAGUGUACCUUGGCCGAGAGGCCUGGGCAAUCUUUUGAACGUGCAUCGUGAUAGGGAUAGAUUAUUGCAAUUAUUAAUCUUGAACGAGGAAUUCCUAGUAAACGCAGAUCAUCAAUCUGCAUUGAUUACGUCCCUGCCCUUUGUACACACCGCCCGUCGCACCUACCGAUUGGAUGGUCCGGUGAAGCCUCGGGAUUGUGGCGGUUGCCUUUAUUGGUGUCCGCCGCGAGAACUUGUCUAAACCUUAUCAUCUAGAGGAAGGUGAAGUCGUAACA
rnacentral:rRNA from 1 species